UCUGCUAACAUUAUGCAUAAACUUCCUUGACUAAAAUGAAUAUUUUGCUUUGAAAACGUUUGUUUUACUUAAACGUACCUACUCUAGACAAUAUAAACGGCUGUAUCGUGUAGAUAUUUUGUAGAGUUUUUGAAGUUUGUGUCCGGGACCGGCUGGUCGGUGGCUGGAGUCUACUGCGGCGAGUAACUUGAAACAGGACUAAUGGCCGUGAAAAGUUAAAAUUACCAUCCAGUUUAUGCUUCGUAGGCCUGCAACAAAAGAAAAACAUCUUGAGCGUUUUUUACGUUGCCUGAUUAUUGUGUACCCCGUUAGGCCACCGUCUGCUUUUUUGAUUCGGUUUUACAUUAUUUUCAGUGUGUAUUUGCUUAUACAUUUUUCAACUUACAAAAUAAAUGAAUAAUAAAUA